GACGAACGCUGGCGGCGUGCUUAACACAUGCAAGUCGAACGAGACGAUUGAAAGCUUGCUUUCGAAAGUCGAGUGGCAAACGGGUGAGUAACGCGUAGACAACCUGCCUUUGAGAUGGGGACAACAGUUCGAAAGGACUGCUAAUACCGAAUGUUGUAUAUUUUCCACAUGGAAGAUAUAUUAAAGAUGGCCUCUAUUUAUAAGCUAUCGCUCAAAGAUGGGUCUGCGUCUGGUUAGCUGGUUGGUGGGGUAACGGCCUACCAAGGCGACGGUCAGUAUGCGGUCUGGGAGGAUGAACGGCCACAUUGGGACUGAGACACGGCCCAGACUCCUACGGGAGGCAGCAGUGGGGAAUCUUCCACAAUGGACGAAAGUCUGAUGGAGCAACGCCGCGUGAGUGAAGAAGGGUUUCGGCUCGUAAAGCUCUGUUGUCGGGGACGAAUGUGCAGUAUUUGAAUAAAGUACUGCAAUGACGGUACCUGACGAGGAAGCCACGGCUAACUACGUGCCAGCCGCCGCAGUAA
rnacentral:rRNA from 1 species